ACCCGCUGAAYUUAAGCAUAUCAGUAAGCGGAGGAAAAGAAAACAACAGUGAUUCCCUCAGUAACUGCGAGUGAAGCGGGAAGAGCCCAACGUCGAAUCGCUUUGCCCGUAACAGGGYUGCGAUGUAUUCGCGAGCGAGCUGUGACGUAAGGAAGCAUUUCACCGAGGUUGGCCGUGCCAUCAAAGUUUGCCUGGAAAGGCGCGUCAAAGAGGGUGAGAACCCCGUGUGUGAUGGCAUGAGUGCUGUGAGAGGCCGGCCUCGCUUGUGCUAGACAACAAGUGUGGAAGUGUUUUCCAUGAGUCGGGUUGUUUGGGAUUGCAGCCCUAAGCGGGUGGUAAACUUCACCCAAGGCUAAAUACUGGAACGAGACCGAUAGCGAACAAGUACCGUGAGGGAAAGUUGAAAAGCACUCCGAAAGGAGAGUCAAAAGCACGUGAAACCGUUAAAAGGGAAGCGGAUGAAUGGGYCGACAAACCCCACGCGGUUCAGCAUCAUGUGAGUUUGGAGGUGUCAUUGAACGAUGAGUAGUCUCCAAUCACACCCUCGCAUGUGAUGUGUAUGCCGGUGUGACGGGUGAGCCGAAACAGUCGUUGCAAGUACGGCCGAGGCAGGCUGGACGUCUGGUGGUGAUUGCCCAUUGCUUAAUCUAGCAAUAGGUGUUAGCAGUGGUUUACAGUCACAGCCGGACGCUACCUGUGUGUAUGCGUGUGUGAAAACCAUUAUAAUGUACAAUCUCGGCGAGUAUGCAAUUGAAAGAAGCGUUUGUGAUGACUGAGAAUAUGCGUCGUUGAGACGAUGCUGCGCGCUCCCGUUAGCACUCAUGUGAGAGCGAAUGGAGCGACGGGCCGCAAGAUAGUAGGUGUAUCCCGUGUGUGAGACUGGCGAUGCCUCUAUCGCUCGGGGUGCUGUGUGGUGUGUGUUGGACCGCAAGGGCUGAUGCGCAUCGCACGGUGCUGCGAUAGUUGGUAGGACCUCGGAUAAAAGUUCCAUCUACCGUGGGAAUGCAGGCAACUGCAGUCCACGCGUUAGCCAGUGUUCACAUGUGUGUCAAAUCGGUGUGCGUGUAAAAGCGCUAUCCACACACACGCAUUCCAUGGUUCACCAUUACACAAACGAUACCACUAGGUGUCGGAUGGUGGAUCGGGUCCUGGAUACAACUUGUGCCCUUAGCGCGUAAGCGUGAAAAGCACAGCAGAUUUUCGGCGAGACACCAAUUCAUCCGACCCGUCUUGAAACACGGACCAAGGAGCCUAGCAUAUGCGCGAGUCAAAGGGUGAUAAAACCCAGAGUGCUGGUCAUAGUAAAUACUGCCCCCGUCAUCUAGACAGGUGUGUCUGGGUGGUGGGGCGUUAUUUGACGUAGAAGCAAAAUGAGGCGCAAUGAAAGUGUUUUUUCGCUCCUCUAUUUUCAUAUAAGAGGAGCGUGUGAUGGGAUCUGGGUGCUUGCGAAAUAAAGAGGACGCUAAGAGGCUUCACGGCUUUGCCAACGUCCUAGCAGUUCCCGGCGCACCAUCAGCCGGUCUGUACGUGGGUAUGGACUGAGCGUGAGCGCAUAUGCUAGAACCCGAAAGAUGGUGAACUAUUCCUGGGUAGGGCGAAGCCGGAGGAAACUCCGGUGGAGGCUCGCAGCGAUCCUGACGUGCAAAUCGGUCGUCAAACCUGGGUAUAGGGGCGAAAGACUAAUCGAACCAUCUAGUAGCUGGUUCCUUCCGAAAUAUCCCUCAGGAUCGCUGAGACUUGUAUGGCGCACACGCGCCUCUAUGGUAGUUUCAUCGGGUAGAGCUAAUGAUUAGAGUUAUUUGGGAGCAACUGUUCCUAAAACUAUUCUCAAACUGCCAACCGGUGAGUGGGUGUCGAUUUCUUUGAACCACUGCUCCGUCAGGGUUUCCCUGAUGGUGUAGUGGCGACGGAGAGAACUUGUGACAUUGUGGUGUGGUGUGAGGUGUGAGAGAGUGAUCCUCACGGUAGAUGCGCUACAUCAUGGUGUUAUGAUUUCUUUCCGUUUGAGUUGAAUCGACACAGAAUCGCACUUCUCUUUGUGCGAGUGCCUUAUUGGGGCACGUCCGAUUGUGCAUCUGCAACGGUAGGGCAGUAAAAUGUCCGACCCGAGGGUGUACAGGAUCAAGCGAAUACCAGAGUCUCAAGUGGGCCGUUUCUGGUAAGCAGAACUGGCGAUGCGGGAUGAACCGAGAGCUGGGUUAAGGUGCCUAAGUGGACGCCCAUGGACACCAUCAAGGGUGUCGAUCAGUCAAGAUAGCAGGGCGGUGGCCAUGGAAGUCGGCAUCCGCUAAGGAGUGUGUAACAACUCACCUGCCGAAUCGAUCGGCCCCGAAAAUGGAUGGCGCUUAAGCGUUCCACCGAUACCCGGCCGUCGAUGUACGAAAUGAUAGUGAUAUCGACGGGUAGGAAGGCGCGACGGUUUUUGUGUUGUGGCCCUCUGUUUGGGGGUGUGGAGUUGGCAGCAGUGGUGGGGCAACCUGCUGCUGCUGCUGCUCCACAUCUCUGGGCAGGGUGCAUUGCCAUGGCAGUAUGUGUGUGCUGAGAAGGAUGUGAGACGUGAGUCUGUCCGGAGCAGCCGUCGGUGCAGAUCUUGGUGGUAGUAGCAACUAUUCGAAUGAGAACUUUGAAGGCCGAGGUGGAGACGGGUUCCACGUGAACAGCAUUUGAACGUGGGUCAGUCGGUCCUAAGCAGUCGCCUAACGGCAUGUUUCAGGCAAAGGGAAGAGGGCAUUCGCAAGCUCACUUCCAAGGCUGCGAAAGGGAAUCAGGUGAAUAUUCCUGGACCAAGUGGCGUGUGUUUGGUGAUGGUGUGCGUGUGGUGGGUUAACGCUCAUCGCACGUAUCCUCAUUGGGCACUUAAUCGGAAAUGGCCGUGGGGACAGUCAUCAGCUGUGGGCUUAACCGUUCACGGUGGGUGGCUGUUUGUGCGGUUUCAGUGGGUGCGCCUUCUGGGUGGCGUGAAACUGCGGGGAGGUCGAUCGUGGAUUCGUUCUGCGGGGGGACACCUGUAGAGCGUCAUUGAGGGGGAUAGCAUGCCCAUUGGCUGUGCAUUCGCUCCAGAGGCCAAGGCGGUAACGCAAACAAACUCGGAGACAUCCUUCAUGGUCCUGGAAAGAGUUAUCUUUUCUUGUUAACAGGUCAAGUGAUACGCCCCGGAAAAGAGUCAGUCUGAGAGGGGGCUGUGGGCCUGGAAGAGCAUCGCAGUUUCGGCGGUGUCCGGUGUACCAUGGUGUUAAGGGUCCUUGAAAAUCCGAGGGCGCGUAGCUCGAUGGGCCUGCCCGUAAAAAGGUCGGUCCGUUGGGAUGUAGAAUUUCGCACUUGUCCGUACCUAAUCCGCAUCAGGUCUCCAAGGUUAACAGCCUCUGGCGUUGAAACAAUGUAGGUAAGGGAAGUCGGCAAAAUCGAUCCGUAACUUCGGGACAAGGAUUGGCUCUAAGGGUUGAGUCACCCGGGCCACUGGCAGAGGAGGCGCAUCGCUUCCAGUUCGGUGUGUUGCACAUGGGUGUUUCGGCAUUCUGUGUCGGCACACUGUCUGGGAUGUUGGUGUGGUUCCCUGCGUGGUUGGACGGCGUGCCAGCCAGUGUUUCAUUGGUGUGGCUGGCGUAAGCGGUGUUCCUCCAUGCACUUCGGUGUAUGUGAACGCUUGCUGCGCCAGAUCCCUGGUGAGGCUUGCUGGUGUGGGCGCGUCGGCCCCUGGUGUUAUAGUGCAUGUGAUAAAUGUGCGUCUGUGCGCUAACUGGUCUCAUAGCCAGUGAGUGCUGCAUGUGGGCCGGUAAGUGUCGCCAGUGUUGGUAUGAUUCGACGCUGGGACAAGUGUUGCUGGUAGUGUGCCAAAAGCCGCUCCAGCCACUCCCAGCAGGUAGUUGUAUCAGCUGGCGAAGUGCUGCCGGUUGGAUGUAGUGUUCGGCGGGUGGCAGAUUGAACAACCAACUUAGAACUGUCACUGACUCGGGGAAUCCGACUGUUUAAUUAAAACAAAGCAUUGCGAAGGCUGGAAACGGUGUUGAUGCAAUGUGAUUUCUGCCCAGUGCUCUGAAUGUCAAAGUGCGGAAACGCAACCAAGCUCGGGUAAACGGCAGGAGUAACUAUGACUCUGUGAAGGUAGCCAAAUGCCUCGUCAUCUAAUUAGUGACGCGCAUGAAUGGAUCAACGAGAUUCCCACUGUCCCUACCUACCAUCAGCGAAACCACAGU
rnacentral:rRNA from 1 species